rnacentral:lncRNA from 1 species
AAUCUUGAAAACAAAUUUGCAUCUUAAUAGAGGGAAAAUUAAUUAUGAUGUCUAAAUUUUGGUGAACAAUAACAAAUGUACACUUUUUUUUUAAAAAAAAAAAACAAGGUAGGUGAAAAAUAAGCCAUAACAUUAUAGUAUUGCCGAAUUUUUGUAAGAGUAAACCAUAAGAGUACAAUUUGUUUUUUCGGAGAACUACAAUUAUCAUAUGUUAUAAAUUCUUACAAUAAAUAAAGAUGUUUCUCCUUGGGCCCUACUCGGUCCUUUUCUUUUUCUUUGAGGUAUUCUGAUAUUUUCUCCUUACAAACAGAGCAACUUGCAUUUUUGAUACUUUCUUUUAGUAUCGAAUAUUCCCAAAGAAGAGCCCCAUACGCAACCUCAAACAUCUCAGCCUCUCUCUUUGACCUGAGUAACCAAAAAAUAAAAACGCAUGUGAGCCAUAAAACAUUCAAGAUUAAUAAGAAAAAUGGAGAGAAGAACAAGAAAUGUCGAGGAAAAUAGAAACUCACUCUUCAAGCUGUUGUUUGAUUGACUUAGAAUGUUUUCCUUGAGAUGCCAUUGGUUAAAAAGUUGAAGUUGAUCCAAGAAUUUUUCUUUCUUGAACCGAUUCUUAGAUUUUCUUUAGCGGCGAAAAGUUUAAGAUAAGCAAAGUAGGUUUUGACGAAAAAUGAAUUGGAUAUAUAUAGUACAUUUUAGAGUUUGUUUGC